AUAUAUAUAUAUAUAUAUAUAUAUAUAUUAGUGUUUUGAAAAUGCACCUAUACAAUUUGAUUUUAUCUUAUUUAUCACAGGGUGGCAGCACUGUGCUGUAUCUCCAACUGGUAUCAUCAGUUACUCCUUUCAGUUAUCCAUGGCUGCUGCAUCUUAAAAUUAUUGGGUCAAUUAUUGGGUGAAUAUGGAUUUACUGUAAACUAAAACUAGGUCAUCCUCCUCAUUUGUCAAGACACUAAUGCAUAAAGCAAAUUAAGAUGCAGCAAAGGUCACUGUCUUUCUUAUGGAUUAUGUAAAAUUCAUACUGAAUAGUGAAUAGUUGGAAUUAUUUGUCAAAACACUUAUGUAAAAUAAUCUUUAAAAUGUGCUCCCACUAAUCACUAUAUAUAUCACCCCUUAUCCCUAAUCAGUGUGUAUAUAUAAGCGCCUGCUGCUAAUUCAGAUGUUAGUGUGUAAUUGAAGGUGACAGUAAGCCUGUCAGCUUACAAAGCCAUUUUGCAUGUACAUGUGAAUGUGAAACUUUGCAUGCGUCACUAAAGAACUCUAAGGCAUUAUGAAGGGAGAGGAGACGCGGAGCAGGGAGGGGGUGAUGGCAGGAAUAAAGCUUGUUGGAAAGCAAAAAAUGAAAAAGUAAAAGUAAGUAAUAAUACAGAUCCUUAAUUUCAAUAGAAGUAGUCCAGCACGUUCUUGUUGUGAUCCUUUGUGAAGAUGAGCUGUAUACCUGCUAAUUCAAGUGUGAGCGGUAUUCUCACACAAGUAGAAUCUCAGAUGGAGACUCCAAUUGAGAGGAAAGACAGCCUAUCAGCCUAUCAGAUUUUUCCUGAAGCCAACAUGGAUAAAGAUUCAAAUAACACUUCCUAUUCAGGAGAAUUCCUUUGUCGAAGAGAGCGGCUUCCCUCUAUUGUUGUAGAGCCUUCAGAGCACACCGAUCUGAGGAGUGGGCCCCAUAAUCCCAUAAGCAACAAUGUGGACAAGAAAGACAACAUCAGCACUGAGAAUGCAGAAAUCUCUUUAGAUGGAGAGCAGCAGGAUAUGGCUAUGAAGGGCAACUGCGCAUUCCAUUUUUAUUGUUGCAGCAUGUUUGCUAGGAAGUCUUCUAUCGGACCAUCCCAAGGCCAACUGUCCAUCUCACUAUUAUCGCCACCCCCCUCCCCCACCCACCCCGAAGCUGCACCACCUUGUCUGCAGAACACAAUCUGCAUGGACUGAUAGAGAUUAAAAAGGGGCCAUGUUUAUUAUAGGGAUAGUCAGACAGAGUACCCCAUUAAAACCAUAAACACUUGGGACUGUAACAUUGUUAAAAAAAUGAGUGAAGAAAAUAAUAAUUGAAACUUCAUUGAUCCCACAGUGGGGAAUUUUAUCUCUCUUUAACCUGAAAUUUCACAUGGAACUAACUGAAAUAGCACAUGGUCAUAAAUCUGAGCCUUUGCUGUGACACUUAUUUAUUGAACUUACGUGCUGUCCAUUUCUUCUGAUCAUCCUUGAGAUAGUUCUACACCUUUAUUUGAGUCCAGAUGUGUUUGAUUAUACUGAUUCAACUGCAAAUUGCAAAUGAGAAUCAUGAGGUCAAAUUAACUGCUUGAAGAGUUCAGAGCUGCAGUUAAGUUCCGAAGAGCACAGUGGCCUCCAUAAUAUUUAAAUGGAAGAUGUUUGGGACAACCAGAACCCUUAUUAGAGCUGGCUGUCUGGUCAAACUGAGCUAUCGGGGGGGUUGUCCACCAACGUUUACCAUCCAACCUUACAGGACUGGAGAGGAUCUGCAAGGAGGCAUGGCAAAGGAUCCCCAAAUCCAGGUGUGACCUAACCGAGACCAAGAUGUAUCUUACAGGCAAUUUCUGGAGUGGGAGGAGAUCUGCUCAUGACCUAAAUGGUGAUAACAAACCUGAGUGUGAUGAUGCAUGGUUUGUCUGCCUUCAUGAUGACAAAAAUAUUGGUUCAGGUAAAGUUUCGAUGCACAUCUGGCGCUAGUGCAUGUUCACAAACAGUUCCAGGCCCCCCAAGAGUCCCUGGAAUUCAGCCAGCAGCAGGUGGUUUCCCUUGCCACCAAAAACGAAACCUCGAAGGGAACGGUGCCAUUCCUGAUGGAGGACGUAUCUCGGCUAGCUGCAGAAAAUAAGAAGAAUAAAAGAAAAUAUCAUCGAUCUGCAGGUCCGCGGCAUAAGAGACAACCUGGUGUUACAGAAGAGAUGAAGGAAUACGUUGAAACCACAGUGGAAAAAUUCCUGACAGAUGAAUCUUCCAGAACAAAAUAAGAAGAAUAAAAGAAAAUAUCAUCGAUCUGCAGGUCCGCGGCAUAAGAGACAACCUGGUGUUACAGAAGAGAUGAAGGAAUACGUUGAAACCACAGUGGAAAAAUUUCUGACAGAUGAAUCUUCCAGAACAAGAGGAUGGCCAGCAUCCAUGGCCCAUCGUUUCAAAGUUUCAUGGCUUUAAGCAGAAGGAACUAGAUAAGAGCCGGGGCAGACAGCUUAGGGGUAAUGACUCAAUCAGUUUCCUAAGGAGUUCCUUGACCGACGCCUCCUAGCAUUCCCCAUCCACAAGAGGUUCAGGGCAGCAAGCUGCAGAGCUGUCACCGUCGAUAAACUGUAUGUCAAUGGAGAGCUCUACCAUGACCGAGAAGUAACUCCAUGGCUGUACCAACAGUGGGUCAGCUCUUGGGUACAGUCGUCUCCAUUUGGCUCGGUCCAGGGCGUCUUCCGGGGACGCGUUGACGAUCUUCAUGUCUUCCCUAAUUCUGUCCAUCUCUUUUUUUUUUUUUGAUGGGGGCCACUCCCAGCCUCUUGCGCACCUCCUCAUUGGCAACACGAUCCCACCUUGUAAGGCAGAGACUGAGUACGAAACCCAUCACAUAUCAUUCGAUCUUGUGUUUCAUUGAGCGGCAGUCUGGAGCUCUCUGCUAAGACUGCUGCCCCGCGACCGAUCCACGGAUGAGCUUCGAUUAAAAAUUAAAAGUAGAGGUUUUUUGUUUUUCGUUUUUCUCUAAACGAAAAAAAACAGCUUUAAAUCCAAUUCCGUGUGUUUUUGUUAAAAAAUAUUUUUGUCCGGUUUAUUGGUUUGUAAGGCGGUGCUUUUAUUCAAAUCUGUUUGCCGCCCAUAGCAAGAGAAAGGAGACGCCGGUGAAGGUGGAUAGAUGGACGGAUGGGAAAUCAAGGUUUUGAAACAUACACGGGCCGAAUAAGUCACAUCAGCAACUCAUUCAGUUACAAUGACAUGCACAGUCAAAACAAAUUCACGCUACAUCUAGUGCGCCACUCCCCCGUUUCUCCCGUAGCCUGCAUUUGCACAUCCAUACAUUUGUGUAUUGGUCACUCUCUGUCUGGACAAAUGACUCCGAAACACGUCACGUGUUUGUGUAAGAGUUUGAUGUCUCCACCAAAUUAUAAGCAGAGGUAACAAGAGAACGACUUUUUGUGUUUUCCGUUUGUCUCUAAACAAUAAAAACAUAUUAACUCCAA